rnacentral:rRNA from 1 species
CACCGCGGUUAGACGUGAGGCCCAAGCAGAUGAGCUUACGGCGUAAAGUGUGGCCAAGGAACCUAUUUAAAUUAAAGCUAAACGCCCUCAAUGCUGUAAUACGUUGUCGAGGUCAAAGAAGGACAACCACGAAAGUAACUUUAUUUUUUCCCCACCCACUAAAGCUCUGGCA